rnacentral:lncRNA from 1 species
UAGAUUUAUUUAUAUUUUUAAGGUGGCCUAGAUCGAUAUUGGACAUCUGGUAACACAAUAGUAGAAGGUAAGUGGCUUUGGGGUAAAGGCGAGUCCAUUGAUUACUUCAACUGGAACCCUGAAACCCACAAAAAUGGUGAAACGUACUAUUCAGAUAGUAUUUGUAUUAAAAUUGCCAAAAGUGAAGAUAAACUCUACUGGGAGCAUGCAUUCUGCCGCGAGAAAAACUUGUAUAUCUGCGAAAAAACACUGACGGCCUCCAAAAUUGACUGUGAUGCUACUGAAAAUUUGGUCCAGGGAGAUAGUCAGUCACAUUAUAAAUAUUACAUAUCUGAGGACAGUGUAACAUACCCCAAAGCAAUUGACAUCUGCCGAUCCAUGUGCAUGGAUCUAGUUAGGAUUGAAAGCAAACAGAAGAACCAGGA